rnacentral:rRNA from 1 species
CGAAAAGACCCCGGGACCUUCACUAUAGCUUGGUAUUGGUGUUCGGUUCGGUUUGUGUAGGAUAGGUGGGAGACUGUGAAGCGGGCACGCCAGUGUUCGUGGAGUCGUUGUUGAAAUACCACUCUGAUCGUAUUGGAUACCUCAACCUCGGACCAUGAUCUGGUUCAGGGACAGUGCCUGGUGGGUAGUUUAACUGGGGCGGUUGCCUCCCAAAAUGUAACGGAGGCGCCCAAAGGUUCCCUCAGCCUGGUUGGCAAUCAGGUGUUGAGUGCAAGUGCACAAGGGAGCUUGACUGUGAGACUGACAGGUCGAGCAGGGACGAAAGUCGGGACUAGUGAUCCGGCACCGGCAAGUGGAAGCGGUGUCGCUCAACGGAUAAAAGGUACCCCGGGGAUAACAGGCUGAUCUUCCCCAAGAGUCCAUAUCGACGGGAUGGUUUGGCACCUCGAUGUCGGCUCGUCGCAUCCUGGGGCUGGAGUAGGUCCCAAGGGUUGGGCUGUUCGCCCAUUAAAGCGGCACGCGAGCUGGGUUUAGAACGUCGUGAGACAGUUCGGUCUCUAUCCGCCGCGCGCGUUAGAAACUUGAGGAAGGCUGUCCCUAGUACGAGAGGACC